rnacentral:lncRNA from 1 species
GUUACAUCUUCUAACGAACUACUAUGUUGUGAAGAAGUCUUUAGGACUACUUUGAUUGAUAAAGAAGGAUUUAUCCGUAGUUCUUAAAUUGGUUUACGACCAAAUGAUACGCUAUUACUAGGACGAUAGCGGUAUCAAAUGUAGGUCGUUGUAUGCCAUAUGCGUUGAUUGUCCUCAUAACCAAAUGGUAUGGAGAUACUGGUAUGGCAUGCAGGUG